UACGAAGGGGGCUAGCGUUGCUCGGAAUCACUGGGCGUAAAGCGCACGUAGGCGGAUUGCUAAGUCAGGGGUGAAAUCCUGGAGCUCAACUCCAGAACUGCCUUUGAUACUGGCGAUCUCGAGUCCGGGAGAGGUGAGCGGAACUGCGAGUGUAGAGGUGAAAUUCGUAGAUAUUCGCAAGAACACCAGUGGCGAAGGCGGCUCACUGGCCCGGUACUGACGCUGAGGUGCGAAAGCGUGGGGAGCAAACAGG
rnacentral:rRNA from 1 species